GACAGAGGGUGCGAACGUUGUUCGGAAUUACUGGGCGUAAAGCGCGUGUAGGCGGCAGCGUGUGUCGGGCGUGAAAUCCCAUGGCUUAACCAUGGAAGUGCACCAGAAACUGCGCAGCUAGAGUCCUGGAGAGGAAGAUGGAAUACUUGGUGUAGAGGUGAAAUUCGUAGAUAUCAAGUGGAACACCGGUGGCGAAGGCGGUCUUCUGGACAGUGACUGACGCUGAGACGCGAAAGCGUGGGGAGCAAACAGG
rnacentral:rRNA from 1 species